rnacentral:tRNA from 1 species
CGGGGGGUAGCGCAGUUUGGUAGCGCGCCUGCUUUGGGAGCAGGAUGUCGCAGGUUCGAAUCCUGUCACCCCGA